rnacentral:rRNA from 1 species
GUACACUCCUGCGGGAGGCAGCAGUGGGGAAUAUUGGACAAUGGGCGCAAGCCUGAUCCAGCCAUGCCGCGUGAGUGAUGAAGGCCCUAGGGUUGUAAAGCUCUUUCACCGGUGAAGAUAAUGACGGUAACCGGAGAAGAAGCCCCGGCUCACUUCGUGCCAGCAGCCGCGGUAAUACGAAGGGGGCUAGCGUUGUUCGGAUUUACUGGGCGUAAAGCGCACGUAGGCGGACUAUUAAGUCAGAGGUGAAAGCCCGGGGCUCAACCCCGGAACUGCCUUUGAAACUGGGAGUCUUGAGUUCGGGAGAGGUGAGUGGAAUUCCGAGUGUAGAGGUGAAAUUCGUAGAUAUUCGGAGGAACACCAGUGGCGAAGGCGGCUCACUGGCUCGAUACUGACGCUGAGGUGCGAAAGCGUGGGGAGCAAACAGGAUUAGAAACCCGUGUAGUCCCAUGAU